rnacentral:tRNA from 1 species
UAAGGGGCCCAGGGGGCUAGUCCUGGUAGAAAAGCUUAGCAGGGUUUUCUUGUGUUAACAGGCUCCUU